rnacentral:sRNA from 20 species
GUCAAUAACCCACCGCUAAUCGGAGUACCAAUAUAGCGGGGGCUUGUAAAAGCCCUAGUUGACCAGGCUCAGGUAGAAAUACCUCCGUUGUAGGGAAGCGUUAAAGUUCACACCUUAGAAUGCGUAGCUAGUUCUAAGCUCUGUA